rnacentral:rRNA from 1 species
AUGAGACCUUGUGAAGCAGUUGCGUCAGAAGUAGUGGUGUAUGUGGUGGACAAUGACAGCCGUGGAGAGUCCGAAUUUGAAGAAUGGUCUGACGAUGCUCAUGAAAGGAUGGUUGACAUUGACAGGAGGCUGAGGGAGCAGGAAGCUAAAGAUGCAGAAGUGGCAAGGAAGUGUGAGGAAGAUGCAGAAAAGGAAGCAAAAGAGCAACAUGCAAAAGAUGAAGAACUUGCAAGGAAAUGUCAAGAGAAGAUGGAGCAGAACGCGAGGGACCAAGUGGCAACUGAUAAUCAUGUUGCACGUAUGUACCAGAAGCUUUAUGACCAGAACGCUACUGACGAGCAGAUCAAGAAGGUGUGUGCACGUGGUGUGGGUGAUGAUGCAGGGAGGACAAGGACAGGGGAACGGCGAUCAUCAGAUGUAGUGGUUCAGAAAAGCUUAGAUGAUUUUUUCUACUGUCGGAGUGGCAUGUCCUUGGAAGGAGUGAGUACAGGUAAUGGUGUUUAA